rnacentral:lncRNA from 1 species
UGUUAAGCCUCGGUCACACCUUACCGGAUAGCUCGAACGGACGCCUAACGGAUAAAAAAAAAGUUAUCCGUUGACAAAAUUUGUAUCCGUUGGGAGUCCGUUGGUGUACUAACGGACAUGUAACGAAUGCCUAACGGACACACAACGGACAUUGAACGUACGUGAAACGGAUACAUACCGGACAGAACGGACGUCGAACGUACAUCCAACGGACGAGUACCGGAUAAAACGGACACCUAACGGAAGCGUAACGGAUAAAACGGAUGAACAAAAUAAUCUGAAAAUUAAAGGCAAUAUACCAUCUAAAAAUUAAAGGCAAUAAACCA